CUGACAGCAGCCACGUACUGGUACACCGACUGCCAAAAUAAGAGACACACCACGAAAAGUUGAAAGAAAAAAUGCUACAGACACACAGGAAAGGAAGAAACUUUUUGGCCAACAAUUUCCCAUUUCAGCUUUCCUCUUGGUCGUGUUUCGUUCCCAACACCCUACUGUUGUGCUCUUUGGUUUUGCUCUGUUGCUCACUUUUUUGUACUCUUCCAGGAGGAGUUUUAUG
rnacentral:lncRNA from 1 species